UAUUGCUCUUCAACGAGGAAUCCCUAGUAAGCACAAGUCAUCAGCUUGUGCUGAUUACGUCCCUGCCCUUGUACACACCGCCCGUCGCUACUACCGAUUGAAUGGCUUAGUGAGGCCUACGGAUUGAGGCUCGGAGACUGGCAACAGACUCUUGGUUUUGAAAAGUUGGUCAAACUUGGUCAUUUAGAGGAAGUAAAAGUCGUAACAAGGUUUCCGUAGGUGAACCUGCGGAAGGAUCAUUACCAAUUUUUAGCGGACCUGAUCUUUGAUCAUGGUCUCGCGAAAACUUGUAUCUAAAACCCCACUCUUAUAAAUUGAAUCAUUUUAUACUAUGUAUAUAAUAAAAUAAAGAUCACUUUCAACAACGGAUCUCUUGGCUCUCGCAUCGAUGAAGAACGUAGCGAAGUGCGAUAAGUAAUGUGAAUUGCAGAAUUUCCGUGAAUCAUCGAAUCUUUGAACGCAAAUUGCACUCUCUGGCAACCCGGGGAGUAUGCCUGUUUGAGGGUCAGUAUUUAUAAAAAUCGGUGCGUUGCAAAUUUUUGUGACGUUUCCGGAGUUUGAGUUAUCUUACUUCGGUUUUAGAGGCUUAAAAUUGACCUUUUUUGGUGCAUUUUAGACGUACAAUAAAUUCUUUUUUUUUAUUCGUCUUAUCCUAAUUGCCAAAUUUUAUUAGAUGGCGACAUAUUCUUUGGUGGUUUCGGGGUUCUUAUAAGUUUUCAUAAGUUGACCCUCAAAUCAGUAGGAUUCCCGCUGGACCUUAGCAUAUCAUUAGCGGGAGGGAAAGGAAAUACCAUUGAUUCCCUAUGAUAACUGGCGAGUUCAGGAGAGGAAAGCUCCAAUUCAAUCCUGUGUAGAAUUACUACCGAGUUGAAUUUGAAACCGUUGCGCGUAAUUGGUCAGCCUUAAGUCC
rnacentral:rRNA from 1 species